CCUCAGCAUGAACCCAUCUUUCUUUUCCUCGUGGAGACUUGGGUCCUCGUACUGAAGCUCUGAAUUUAUAGUCCUUCCACAUAUAUGGAAAACUCUGAUGCCCGUAGGGAUGGACCUCGAAAAAAUACAUGAAUGGCACAGGUCCACAUUUCCUGUGGUGAGCCAAGGUAUCCCCAGCUGUUACAGCUUGGAGAAAAAGAGCAGGAGCCCAUCUCUGAAAGGAAAGGCAAAGGUGACUUGGCACCUCCGUGUGUUGCUGGCUGAAAUGGAGGGAUUAUUCUUUGCUGUCUGUAACAUCAUUGCUGCUGAAUCCCUGGAUGCCUCAAACAUGGCACUCUGGGACAUGAGAGAUGGCAUCUUCACCUGUGGAGAAAAAAAAGCAACAAAAAAAUUCUAGAAUGGCAGUGCAGAAAGGAAUCAAGCCUGCAGUUGAUCCCUACGGACAAAUGUCA